rnacentral:rRNA from 1 species
CCUACGGGCGGCAGCAGUGGGGAAUAUUGCACAAUGGGCGCAAGCCUGAUGCAGCCAUGCCGCGUGUGUGAAGAAGGCCUUCGGGUUGUAAAGCACUUUCAGCGGGGAGGAAGGCGUUAAGGUUAAUAACCUUGUCGAUUGACGUUACCCGCAGAAGAAGCACCGGCUAACUCCGUGCCAGCAGCCGCGGUAAUACGGAGGGUGCAAGCGUUAAUCGGAAUUACUGGGCGUAAAGCGCACGCAGGCGGUCUGUCAAGUCGGAUGUGAAAUCCCCGGGCUCAACCUGGGAACUGCAUUCGAAACUGGCAGGUUAGAGUCUUGUAGAGGGGGGUAGAAUUCCAGGGGUAGCGGUGAAAUACGUAGAGAUCUGGAGGAAUACCGGUGGCGAAGGCGGCCCCCUGGACAAGGACUGACGCUCAGGUGCGAAAGCGUGGGGAGCAAACAGGAUUAGAUACCCGUGUAGUC